CACGUAGGGUGCGAGCGUUGUCCGGAAUUAUUGGGCGUAAAGAGCUCGUAGGCGGUGUGUCGCGUCGGCCGUGAAAACCUGCAGCUUAACUGUGGGCUUGCGGUCGAUACGGGCAUCACUGGAGUUCGGCAGGGGAGACUGGAAUUCCUGGUGUAGCGGUGGAAUGCGCAGAUAUCAGGAGGAACACCAAUAGCGAAGGCAGCUCGCUGGGACGUUACUGACACUGAGGCGCGAAAGCGUGGGGAGCGAACAGG
rnacentral:rRNA from 1 species